UACCUGCAGCUCGAGUGGUAACCGCUAUUAUUGGGCCUAAAGCGUCCGUAGCCGGUUUGGUAAAUAUCUGGGUAAAUCGUGAGGCUUAACUUCACGAAUUUCGGAUAGACUGCCAGACUUGGGAUCGGGGGAGGUCAGAGGUACUCCAGGGGUAGCGGUGAAAUGUUGUAAUCCUUGGAGGACCACCGGUAGCGAAGGCGUCUGACUAGAACGAGUCCGACGGUGAGGGACGAAGCCCUGGGGCGCAAACCGGAUUAGAUACCCGGGUAGUCCAGGGUGUAAACGAUGUGGGCUUUGUAUUGGAGGUCCCACGUGGGCGUCCAGUGCAGAAGAGAAGUUGUUAAGCCCACCGCCUGGGAAGUACGGUCGCAAGGCUGAAACUUAAAGGAAUUGGCGGGGAGCACCACAAGGGGUGAAGCUUGCGGUUU
rnacentral:rRNA from 1 species